rnacentral:rRNA from 1 species
CUACGGGGGGCAGCAGUGAGGAAUAUUGCACAAUGGGGGGAACCCUGAUGCAGCAACGCCGCGUGGAGGAUGACGCAUUUCGGUGUGUAAACUCCUUUUAUAUGUCAAGAAAAUGACGGUAGCAUAUGAAUAAGCACCGGCUAACUCCGUGCCGGCAGCCGCGGUAAUACGGAGGGUGCAAGCGUUACUCGGAAUCACUUGGCGUAAAGGACGCGUAGGCGGGUUGGAAAGUCAGGUGUGAAAUCCUACAGCUUAACUGUAGAACUGCACUUGAAACUUCUAAUCUAGAGUAUGGGAGGGGAGAUGGAAUUAAUGGUGUAGGGGUAAAAUCCGUAGAUAUCACUAGGAAUACCUAAAGCGAAGGCAAUCUCCUGGAACAUUACUGACGCUAAGGCGUGAAAGCGUGGGGAGCAAACAGGAUUAGAUACCCCAGUAGUC